rnacentral:lncRNA from 1 species
GGUUUCCCAUACAAAGUCGGGGUGUUUCCUCAUGUAGGUUUCCCUUACAGGAAGUCUGGGGUUUCCUCACUGUGGUUUCCCCUAUACAGGAAGUCUGGGGUUUCCUCACUGUGGUUUCCCAUACAGGAAGUCUGGGGUUUCCUCACUGUGGUUUCCCCUAUACAGGAAGUCUGGGGUUCCCACGGUGGUUUUUCCCCUAUACAGGAAUCUGGGGUUUCCUCACUGUGGUUUCCUCCUAUCAGGAGUCUGGGGUUCCUCAGCGGGUUUUCCCCCAUACAGGAAGUCGGGGGUUUCCUCACUGUGGUUUCCCCUAUACAGGAAGUCUGGGGUUUCCUCACUGUGGUUUCUCCUAUACAGGAAGUCUGGGGUUUCCUCACUGUGGUUUCUCCUUCCUAUACAGGAAGUCGGGGGUUUCCUCACUGUGGUUUCUCUCCUUUACAGGAAGUCUGGGGUCACACACCAAUAUGAUAUCCGAGAUACUUACUUGUCCAUCUGGCACACCACCACAUUCUCUGUAUCAAACAGUUCUUGGUCCCCUCGUCACUCCAUCAUUUCACUAUUCAGAGCUCCUGAGACAGAGUGAGGAACGGUUAAUAAUGUAUCUAUCCU